UAACAGUGUAUUACUGAACAAACAGUCACUUUUAUUCGAAAUAUUAGAUAUUAACGCCAUUAUUAAUAACAAUUAUUAACUUUUUUCAAAUUAAACUGACACUUUUAUCCUGACAGAAAAUUCACUUCUAGCUGUCAGUCAGAACUGGCUUAUAAAUUCCGCACGCGCUGUAUAGCUGGAAUAACGGUCACAAAUUGAGCUAAGCUAACUAACAUUUCGCCUUUUAUUUAUUCAUAUUCAUUUAAACUGAGCUGGUUUCUCUCACCCCCGAGGCAGCGGAGGCGGCUUGCUAGCCUCUCCGUCUCUGUCCCUGUCCAGCGCCAGAGGCUCCCGGCGGUCAAACUGCGAGCGAACGGUCUCCGCCAUGUUUACGCGCAGAGAUCUGGAUCGACUCCGCUGCUUUGCGGAGCUCUUCUCACACACUAGCGCUCGCGCCUAUACUGUGCGUACCGGUUGUUUCAGUCGCUACCACUUCCUUGCAGCCGCGGGGGUGAAACCCGUCCUCGUUCUUACAGUAAACAUAUUAAAAAAAUAGAACCACAGUACAAAAAUCCUACAAAUAGACUUAUAAAUGACAAAUAAAAUAAAAUGUAUAGUGCCGUUCUUUGUUUUAACUUUUAGAAAAGAUGUUUUGAGUUAUAAAACCUCGAGCGUGCACCCCUGACUGUAAUGGAUGAAUGAUCGCUCCCGCGGUAGUACAGGAGGGAGGGAGAGCUGGCUGUGUCUGAAACCUCACACUACCGCACUAUAUAGUACGCUACCUACGGUAACUAUGGUAACCUAUUCUGGAGAAUUAAUUUAAAAUACUAUGUAGAGCAGUAGUUUUCGGUUUGAAACGUGGCCGUCGUCUUUGUUUCCAAGCAAAGUUGAUUAUGGUCUAUUAGCAAAAUGUACACCCAAUAGGCUUUUGAAAGUGGUGUGACGUAAUGUUAAAUUGAUAUUAAUAAUGAUCUAUCUAUCUAUCUAUCUAUCUAUCUAUCUAUCUAUCUAUCUAUAAUGACGGUCAUGAUGAUGAUGAUCAUGGUGAUGAUGGUGUUGGUGGUGGUGUUGGUGAUGAUGAUGAUGACGAUGAUGGUGUUGAUGGUGGUGCUGGUGGGGGUGAUGACGAUGACGAUGAUGGUGUUGAUGGUGGUGCUGGUGGGGGUGAUGACGAUGACGAUGAUGGUGUUGAUGGUGGUGCUGGUAGGGGUGAUGACGAUGACGAUGAUGGUGUUGAUGGUGAUGACGAUGAUGACGAUGAUGGUGUUGAUGGUUGUGCUGGUAGGGGUGAUGACGAUGAUGGUGUUGAUGGUGGUGCUGGUAGGGGUGAUGACGAUGAUGGUGUUGAUGGUGGUGCUGGUGGGGGUGAUGACGAUGACGAUGAUGGUGUUGAUGGUGGUGCUGGUGGGGGUGAUGACGAUGACGAUGAUGGUGUUGAUGGUGGUGCCGGUGGGGGUGAUGACGAUGAUGGUGUUGAUGGUGGUGCUGGUGGGGGUGAUGACGAUGACGAUGAUGGUGUUGAUGGUGGUGCUGGUGGGGGUGAUGACGAUGACGAUGAUGGUGUUGAUAGUGGUGCUGGUAGGGGUGAUGACGAUGACGAUGAUGGUGUUGAUGGUGAUGACGAUGAUGACAAUGAUGGUGUUGAUGGUGGUGCUGGUAGGGGUGAUGACGAUGAUGGUGUUGAUGGUGGUGCUGGUGGGGGUGAUGACGAUGACGAUGAUGGUGUUGAUGGUGGUGCUGGUGGGGGUGAUGACGAUGACGAUGAUGGUGUUGAUAGUGGUGCUGGUAGGGGUGAUGACGAUGACGAUGAUGGUGUUGAUGGUGAUGACGAUGAUGACAAUGAUGGUGUUGAUGGUGGUGCUGGUAGGGGUGAUGACGAUGACGAUGAUGGUGUUGAUGGUGAUGAUGAUGAUGAUAGUGGUGGUGGUGGUAAUAGUGGUGAUGAUGAUGAUGGUGGUGGUUAUGGUGGUGCUGGCGGGGUUGAUGAUGAUGAGAAUAUCAGUAGUAGUGGUGCUGAUAAGUAGGUGGUGACAAUUGGUGAUGGUGAUGAUGGUGGUGGUGGUGGUGGUGGUGCUGGUGGAGGUGAUGAUGAUGAUGGUGGUGGUUGUGGAGAUGAUGAUGGUGGUGAUGGUGGUGGUGGUGGUAUCUUAAAAAAAACAGCUAAAGACCCUACCUCUUCUGUGAACACCUAACUAACCCCUAAUAAAUAAGUAAAUAAAUAAAUAAAAUAAAAUAAAAACCUUACUCUGGCACUUACACCUCUACUCUGCACACUUUGCUUCUUCUAGAACUCAAUUAAUACAUCUUGUAUGGUAGCACUACUUGUAUUGUUCUCUGCUUGAUAUAUCGCUUUGCUUGUAUUUUCUCAUUUGUAAGUCGCUUUGGAUAAAAGCGUCUGCUGAAUGAAUAAAUAUGGUGGUGAUGAUAGUGGUCUUGAAGUUGAUAAUGAUGGUGGUGGUUUGUCGGUGUUCAUAGAGCUUAUGAUUAUGAUAGAGUCUUUAUUUUUCACAUGCACAGUAUCUUUUAUUCGCAUACCUCACCAUGUCAGGAAGUUGAGGUCAGAGUGCAGGGUCAGCCAUGAUACAGUGCCCCUGGAGCAGAGAGGGUUAAGGGCCCAACAGGGGCAUUUUGGCAGUGCUGGGGCUUGAACCCCCGACCUUCUGAUCAGUAACCCAGAGCCUUAACCACCAAGCCACCACUGCCCCCGAUGAUGAUGAUGAUGAUGAUGAUAAUGAAGAUGGUGGUGAAGAUAAGUUGGUGGAAACAAUGAUAAUGAUGGUUGAUGAAGGUGAUGGUUUUGUUAACAGUGGAAAAUGGAGUGAUGCUGACAGUAAGGCUGAUGAUGAUAAUGAAGAUGGAGAGUUAGAGAAUAAUGGUUCUGGUGUUUUUUGGUGGAUGCUGAAGCUUUUAUAAUGAUGACGGUGAUGAUGAUGGUGAUGAUGAUGGUGGUGGUGAUAAAGUUCAUGGUAUUGUUAGUAAUAAUGAUUAUGUUCAUGAGGAUGAUGAGGAUAAAGUUGAUGAUGAUUAAGUUCAUGGUAUUGUUUGGGAUGAUGAUGAUGAUGAUUAUGAUCAUAGUUUUGAUGAUGAUGGAGAUGACAGUGAUGAUGGUUAUGAUGAUGAUGAUGAUGAUGAUAGUGGUGAUUAUGAGAUGGCAAAGAUGAUGGUGGUGGUGAUGAUGAUGAUGAUGAUGAUAGUGCUGGUGGAGCUCAUGAUGAUGAUAACCAUGAUGAUGACAAUGAUUAUGGUCAAGAUGGCUUUGUUGAUUAUAAUUAUAAUGAUAAUGACAAUGGUGAUGUUAGUGGUGUUCAUGGUAUUGUUGGUAGAUGCUGAGAAUAACUUUUAUAAUGAUGAUAAAGUUUGUUGUAUUGUUGGUGAUGAUGAUGAUUAUAAUAAUGAUGUUCAUGAACUGAUGAUGAUGGUGGAAAUGAUGAUGAUUAUGAUGAUGAUGAUGAUAGUAGUGGUAAUGAUGAUGGUGAUGAUGAAGAUAGUAGUGGUAAUGAUAAUGAUGGUGAUGAUGAUGGUGGUAAUGAUGAUGAUGGUGAUGAUGAUGAUGAUGAUGGUGAUGAUGAUGAUGAUGGUGAUAGUGGUGGUAAUGACGAUGAAGAUAAUGAUCAUGAUGGUGAUAGUGGUGGUAAUGAUGAUGGUGAUGAUGAUGAUGAUGAUGAUGAUGGUGAUGAUGAUGAUGAUGGUGAUGAUGAUGAUGGUGAUGGUGGUGGUGAUGAUGAUGAUAGUGGUGGUAAUGAUGAUGAUGAUGGUGAUAGUGGUGGUAUGAUAGUGGUGGUAAUGAUGAUGAUGAUGAUGAUGAUGAUGAUGAUGAUAGUGGUGGUAAUGAUGAUGAUGA
ensembl:lncRNA